rnacentral:rRNA from 1 species
AUUGAACGCUGGCGGCAUGCCUUACACAUGCAAGUCGAACGGUAACAGGUCUUCGGAUGCUGACGAGUGGAGAACGGGUGAGUAAUACAUCGGAAGGUGACUAGUAGUGGGGGAUAACUACACGAAAGAGAGGCUAAUACCGCAUGAGAUCUACGGAUGAAAGCAGGGGAUCGCAAGACCUUGUGCUACUAGAGCGGCGGAUGGCCGAUUAGGUAGUUGGUGGGAUAAAAGCUUACCAAGCCGACGAUCUGUAGCUGGUCUGAGAGGACGAUCAGCCACACUGGGACUGAGACACGGCCCAGACUCCUACGGGAGGCAGCAGUGGGGAAUUUUGGACAAUGGGCGCAAGCCUGAUCCAGCAAUGCCGCGUGCAGGAUGAAGGCCUUCGGGUUGUAAACUGCUUUUGUACGGAACGAAAAGCCCUGGGUUAAUACCCUUGGGUCAUGACGGUACCGUAAUAAUAAGCACAGGCUAACUACGUGCCAGCCGCCGCCGUAAGAC